AAUAAAAUAAUUAUGUUUUUAUAAUUUUAAUAUAAAUUUAUUUUACAUAUAAAUUUUUGUAUAUAAUUUUAAUUAUUUUGAUAAUAAUUAAUAAAAUUUAGUAGUAAUUUAUAUUAAAAAUUUAAGAAAUUAAGAUUUAGUAAUAUUAAAAUUAAUAACUAAUUUUGUGCCAGCAGUUGCGGUUAAACGAAAAAUUAAAUUAAAAUUUUUUAGUUUAUAAUAAAUAAUAAUUUUAUUAAAAUAAAUAUUAAAUUAUUAAGUGA
rnacentral:rRNA from 1 species